GAUGAACGCUAGCGGCAGGCCUAACACAUGCAAGUCGAGGGGCAGCGGGGAAAAGCUUGCUUUUCCGCCGGCGACCGGCGCACGGGUGCGCAACGCGUAUAGAAUCUGCCCCCUACCGGGGAAUAGCCCAGGGAAACUUGGAUUAACGCCCCAUGGCAUAUAUGAACGGCAUCGUUUUUAUAUUAAAGGUUACGGUAGGGGAUGACUAUGCGUCCCAUUAGUUAGUUGGUAAGGUAACGGCUUACCAAGGCAGCGAUGGGUAGGGGCCCUGAGAGGGGGAUCCCCCACACUGGUACUGAGACACGGACCAGACUCCUACGGGAGGCAGCAGUGAGGAAUAUUGGACAAUGGGCGGAAGCCUGAUCCAGCCAUGCCGCGUGCAGGAAGACGGCCCUAUGGGUUGUAAACUGCUUUUGUACGGGAAGAAACCCGCCCACGUGUGGGCGAUUGACGGUACCGUAAGAAUAAGGACCGGCUAACUCCG
rnacentral:rRNA from 1 species